CAGCAGCCGCGGGAAUACAGAGGAUGCAAGCGUUAUCCGGAAUGAUUGGGCGUAAAGCGCACGUAGGCGGCUUUGUAAGUAAGAGGUGAAAGCCCGGGGCUCAACCCCGGAAUUGCCUUUUAGACUGCAUCGCUUGAAUCAUGGAGAGGUCAGUGGAAUUCCGAGUGUAGAGGUGAAAUUCGUAGAUAUUCGGAAGAACACCAGUGGCGAAGGCGGCUGACUGGACAUGUAUUGACGCUGAGGUGCGAAAGCGUGGGGAGCAAACAGGAUUAGAUACCCGCGUAGUCCCUGUCUCUUAUAU
rnacentral:rRNA from 1 species